rnacentral:rRNA from 1 species
AUUGAACGCUGGCGGCAUGCCUUACACAUGCAAGUCGAACGGCAGCACGGGUGCUUGCACCUGGUGGCGAGUGGCGAACGGGUGAGUAAUACAUCGGAACGUACCUUAUCGUGGGGGAUAACGCAGCGAAAGCUGUGCUAAUACCGCAUACGCCCUGAGGGGGAAAGCGGGGGAUCGCAAGACCUCGCGCGAUUAGAGCGGCCGAUGCCUGAUUAGCUUGUUGGUGGGGUAAAAGCCCACCAAGGCGACGAUCAGUAGCUGGUCUGAGAGGACGAUCAGCCACACUGGGACUGAGACACGGCCCAGACUCCUACGGGAGGCAGCAGUGGGGAAUUUUGGACAAUGGGGGCAACCCUGAUCCAGCAAUGCCGCGUGUGCGAAGAAGGCCUUCGGGUUGUAAAGCACUUUUGUCAGGGAAGAAAUCUUUCAGGCUAAUACCCUUGGAAGGAUGACGGUACCUGAAGAAUAAGCACCGGCUAACUACGUGCCAGCCGCCGCGGUAA